rnacentral:rRNA from 1 species
AUUGAACGCUGGCGGCAUGCCUUACACAUGCAAGUCGAACGGUAACAGGUCUUCGGAUGCUGACGAGUGGCGAACGGGUGAGUAAUACAUCGGAACGUGCCCGAUCGUGGGGGAUAACGCAGCGAAAGCUGUGCUAAUACCGCAUACGAUCUACGGAUGAAAGCGGGGGAUCGCAAGACCUCGCGCGGACGGAGCGGCCGAUGGCAGAUUAGGUAGUUGGUGGGAUAAAAGCUUACCAAGCCGACGAUCUGUAGCUGGUCUGAGAGGACGACCAGCCACACUGGGACUGAGACACGGCCCAGACUCCUACGGGAGGCAGCAGUGGGGAAUUUUGGACAAUGGGGGAAACCCUGAUCCAGCCAUGCCGCGUGCAGGAUGAAGGCCUCGGUUGUAACU